rnacentral:misc_RNA from 1 species
UCUAAGGAAGGCGAAAGAUGAUGGAGAGUGCGAGAGCACUAAGAGAAGUCAUCGAGAAAGCCAAGCGGAAGCACACUGAGAAACUUUGUUUAGUUUUGAGGGUAAUACCUCAAGAGCUAGUACAUUGAAAACUGAAUAUAAUCAAAAGCAAAAAACCGAGACAAUCGAAAAAACAGAUUGAAGAGCGACCGAGAAGAGAGAAAAGAACUUGAGUAAGGUCAAGUAGAAAAGGGCGCACGGUGAAUGCCUAGGCACUAGAAGCCGAUGAAGGACGUGACAAACUACGAAAAGCUUCGGGGAGCUGUAAGUAAGCUAUGAUCCGGAGAUGUC